rnacentral:rRNA from 1 species
AGCUCCAAUAGCGUAUAUUAAAGUUGUUGCGGUUAAAAAGCUCGUAGUUGGAUUUCUGGACAGGACGACCGGUCUACCCACUGGGUGAGCACAUGGUUCGGCUUGGCCAUUUUCUUGGAGAACGCUUCUGCGCUUCGUUGUGUGGGGUGGUAUCCAAGACUUUUACUUUGAGGAAAUUAGAGUGUUUCAAGCAGGCGCACGCCUUGAAUAUGUGAGCAUGGAAUAAUAAGAUCUUGCCUCGACUCUGCUUUUGUUGGUUCCCUUUGUUGGGGUAAGGAUUUGUAGGGCCAGUUGGGGGCAUUCGUAUUUAACUGUCAGAGGUGAAAUUCUUGGAUUUGUUAAAGAUGGCCCAGUGCGAAAGCAUUUGCCAAGAAUGUUCUCAUUGAUCAAGAACGAAAGU